GUCAAGGGACAACAGCUUACAGGAACCGAAAUAGAUCAUCUUGUGACUGGGGAACUUGUCUUGUCUUGUGCAUUGUGCUUACUGAACUGGCCAGGUGCCCUAUGAAAGGUUUAAAGUGAUGGCGAGCUAGUGAAAUCGGCCUGGAGCUGACCCUGUUCCCUGUUCUGUGUGCAACUAUCCAUGGUCUGGUAGGAGGCUGUACUGCCUGUCUUUCUGUUCUCCCUCCAACUCGAAGCUACGCAUCUAAUCCACCUACAACUCCUUGGACAUCUAUGCGCUCUCGGACAAUCCACCCUAAACAAUAAACAUAAUGGACUAGGUUAUGAUACGUUGCUUCACAUUUGUGGAAGAAAGGACUUUUGGAUUUUUGCGUGUUGAUUGAACUAUUCGUCAGAGACUAUUGAGUUUUCACACUCUUGAACUGUGUUGUAAACCUGCAGUGUUGUAAAUAUUGGGAUCCCAUUUGCACCUU